AUGGGGUUCAACAGGGCACAGUUGUUUGCCGCCUUCGCCCUGGGCUUGCUCAUCAUGUCCCACGGUGCGGAGGCGUUCAUCCCCGUCCCCGGAUAUGCCACUCCCCAAGCCAUCUUUAUCGUGGCUCAUGCAACAACAGGAAAUGCGUGGAGGUGUGCCACCACGAGCACUUCACCGGCGGCUACUGCUCACGUAAAGGGAUUGUUAAAAGACUUCAUUGUGAAUGUACCAUAA
rnacentral:rRNA from 1 species